rnacentral:rRNA from 1 species
ACAACUUUCAGCAACGGAUCUCUUGGCUCUCGCAUCGAUGAAGAACGCAGCGAAAUGCGAUAAGUAAUGUGAAUUGCAGAAUUCAGUGAAUCAUCGAAUCUUUGAACGCACCUUGCGCUCCUUGGUAUUCCGAGGAGCAUSCCUGUUUGAGUGUCAUGAA